CGGAGGAAAAGAAACCAACAGGGAUUGCCUCAGUAGCGGCGAGUGAAGCGGCAAAAGCUCAAAUUUGAAAUCUGGCGUCUUUGGCGUCCGAGUUGUAAUUUGAAGAAGGUAUCUUUGGGCCCGGCUCUUGUCUAUGUUCCUUGGAACAGGACGUCACAGAGGGUGAGAAUCCCGUGCGAUGAGAUGACCCGGGUCUGUGUAAAGUUCCUUCGACGAGUCGAGUUGUUUGGGAAUGCAGCUCUAAGUGGGUGGUAAAUUCCAUCUAAAGCUAAAUAUUGGCGAGAGACCGAUAGCGAACAAGUACAGUGAUGGAAAGAUGAAAAGAACUUUGAAAAGAGAGUGAAAAAGUACGUGAAAUUGUUGAAAGGGAAGGGCUUGAGAUCAGACUUGGUAUUUUGCAUGCUGCUCUCUCGGGGGCGGCCGCUGCGGUUUACCGGGCCAGCAUCGGUUUGGAGCGGCAGGAUAAUGGCGGAGGAAUGUGGCACGGCUUCUGCUGUGUGUUAUAGCCUCUGACGAUACUGCCAGCCUAGACCGAGGACUGCGGUUUUUAACCUAGGAUGUUGGCAUAAUGAUCUUAAGUCGCCCGUCUUA
rnacentral:rRNA from 1 species